AUUGAACGCUGGCGGAAUGCUUUACACAUGCAAGUCGAGCGGUAGGGAUUUCGGUCCUGAGAGCGGCGAACGGGUGAGUAAUGCAUCGGAAUGUAUCCUGUAGUGGGGAACAACCUAGCGAACGUUAGGCUAAUACCGCAUACGCCCUGAGGGGGAAAGAGGGGGCACGCAAGGCCGCACGCUACUGGAGCAGCCGAUGUCAGAUUAGCUAGGUGGUGGGGUCAAGGCCUACCAAGGCGACGAUCUGUAGCGGGUCUGAGAGGAUGAUCCGCCACACUGGGACUGAGACACGGCCCAGACUCCUACGGGAGGCAGCAGUGGGGAAUUUUGGACAAUGGGGGCAACCCUGAUCCAGCCAUUCCGCGUGGGUGAAGAAGGCCUUCGGGUUGUAAAGCUCUUUCGGCGGGGAAGAAAUCGUAUCCCCUAAUACGGGGUAUGGAUGACGGUACCUGAAGAAGAAGCACCGGCUAACUACGUGCCAGCCGCCGCAGUAAGAC
rnacentral:rRNA from 1 species